UUUAUAAAUCUUUAGUUAGUGAGUGUUCAAGAUGAUUCGCUGUUUGGCCUUAAUACUGACAGUAUUAUCAGCUAAUAGAUCAUUGGCGGUACCAGUGCAUCGCUCCUUGGACCUGCACGCUUCGUACAACGCUGUACCACCACCACCAACACCACCACUAUUGGUCCACAAUGCCCACGGGAGUCACCACGCCCCUCUCAAUCUGGUCCAGGCGCCUCUGUACAGUCCCUACCCGGUGCCCCUGGGCCACGCCGUACAUCCCGUGCAAAUGGUACAGCCAGUAGUGAAAUACAAAAUCAAAACUCACUAUCACGUUAUUUAAUGUCAUCAUAAUGAUCAUGAUAAUUUGCAAAUUCUAAAUAACAAAGAAACCAGUUCAGAUAAAAGUAAGCUAGAAACAUUUAAAGUUGAGUGGUAGUAAGUAGUAGCAAAAAGAGAAGGCAAACCAUUUUUGCCUACUAAUAUUAACUGCAGACGUGCAACAGAGAUAGCGAGAUAUCCCUGUCACACCACGAGUAUUUCAUUUGGCCGUCUUUAAAAUACAAUUUGUUUCAACUUUAUUGCUAAAAUAAAUACAAUGGUAUAAAAUGAAAAAAAAAACAGCAAUCAAAUUAACUUCACAAAGGCAUACAAUUUAAACUAAAUUACGUUUUUAAUCCUCUAGAUCGGCGAACGAGCGAGGACAAGCCCAUUCGAUAUUAAGUGGUUGUCGCAACCGUAAAACUAAGUGAUUACUGAAACUUCAAAAAUAAAUUGUAUGUUUCACAGUUAAAGUUUCUUUUCAUACGAUACAAGAGGUGAGCUGCAAUAAUAUUUUACUUUAAUAAUUGCCACGUCAUUUGCAUUCAACAGUGAACUUCAAUCUCUACAAACUGGUUUCUUUUUAGAUAAUAUUUGUAGUGACGUAUAUAUUCAGUAUUGAAAUUACUAACACAUUACAUUACUAUAGUAUUACUGAAUUUGACAGGAGCCAACCGUACUGCGGUUAAAUUAUAAAAUUGUGAUUAUU